UUCAAAUAAUUUGUUUCUACAUUCACAGCUUUCUAGCUACUCGCAUCACAGUUACAAGAAAAAUCAUAUCUCGAGUUAUGAAACUCGAAAUCAAGAUCUGUAAAUUUUUCCUAAAUCUAGACUCAUAUAUCUAUUUACUAAUUUUUUUCUAGAAUUUUUGGUUGGGCCAAUUAGUAUAGUUUAUUAGUUAAAGUCUCCC
rnacentral:lncRNA from 1 species